CAAUCCGGUGAUAGCACGUUGAAAACACCAGUUGCCAAAUGAUCACUCAUGGUAAGAAACGUUACGCGAGGUUGGUAUUCGGGUGACUAUCUGGACAAUCGCGUGAACAGAUCAC
rnacentral:rRNA from 1 species